UACAGAGGGGGCAAGCGUUGUUCGGAAUUACUGGGCGUAAAGGGCGCGUAGGCGGCCUGCUAAGUCGAACGUGAAAUCCCCGGGCUCAACCCGGGAACUGCGUCCGAGACUGGCGGGCUUGAAUCUGGCAGAGGGGGUAGAAUCCACGUGUAGCAGUGAAAUGCGUAGAGAUGUGGAGGAACACCGAUGGCGAAGGCAGCCCCCUGGGUCAAGAUUGACGCUCGAUGCACGAAAGCGUGGGGAGCAAACAGG
rnacentral:rRNA from 1 species